GUGCCAGCAGCCGCGGUAAUACGUAGGUGGCAAGCGUUGUCCGGAUUUAUUGGGUUUAAAGGGUGCGUAGGCGGUCCUAUAAGUCAGUUGUGAAAUACGGCAGCUUAACUGUCGAGGUGCAAUUGAUACUGCAGGACUUGAGUACAGACGAGGUAGGCGGAAUUGACGGUGUAGCGGUGAAAUGCUUAGAUAUCGUCAAGAACACCGAUAGCGAAGGCAGCUUACUAGACUGUAACUGACGCUGAUGCACGAAAGUGUGGGGAUCAAACAGGAUUAGAAACCCUGGUAGUCC
rnacentral:rRNA from 1 species